rnacentral:ncRNA from 1 species
ACUUCAGGGGUGCUGAUGAAAUUUGGCUGAGAUUAAGGCUUGUCGCCUUUGACCCUUUACCUGAUGCGGAUAAUGCCGCCGUAGGGAGAAAAAGAU